UGGCACUGUUGGGAAUAGGGGAAAGAGAAGCACUUCUCCAGAGGAGGUGGCGGCGGCUGUGUUCAGGCAAGUAUAAUAUUGCUGCCGGUCCCAAAGCUGUUGAUGUUCCCCAUGCACUCCUUUGCAAGUUCUUUGUCACUCUCUAUUCCAUUGGGUCAGGUUCUCACCUCUGCAUUCCAAAUUAGCAGACCUGUCAAGUCUCAGCUCAAUGCUACGAAGAAGAAGCAGAAGACAGAGGAUGAAAAGAAGACUGUCCCUUUGGACCAUGUGAAAACAGCAAGACAGUCUUUGGGACCCAGCCUAUAGACACAUGCUAUUAGAGACCACGACGAUUGCAGAAAGCAAGGAAGUGUUUUCAUUGUGAGAAGACCAUGAUCAACUUCUUGUCCACCAGGAACCCCCCCAGGUCCUUCUCUGCAGAGCUGCUCUCCAGCAAGUCAACCCCCC